rnacentral:rRNA from 1 species
AAUAUUGCGCAAUGGGGGGCAACCCUGACGCAGCCAUGCCGCGUGAAUGAAGAAGGCCUUCGGGUUGUAAAGUUCUUUCGGUGAUGAGGAAGGGAGUUAUGUUAAUAGCAUAAUUCAUUGACGUUAGUCACAGAAGAAGCACCGGCUAACUCCGUGCCAGCAGCCGCGGUAAUACGGAGGGUGCGAGCGUUAAUCGGAAUAACUGGGCGUAAAGGGCACGCAGGCGGUGACUUAAGUGAGGUGUGAAAUCCCCGGGCUUAACCUGGGAAUUGCAUUUCAGACUGGGUCGCUAGAGUACUUUAGGGAGGGGUAGAAUUCCACGUGUAGCGGUGAAAUGCGUAGAGAUGUGGAGGAAUACCGAAGGCGAAGGCAGCCCCUUGGGAAUGUACUGACGCUCAUGUGCGAAAGCGUGGGGAGCAAACAGGAUUAGAUACCCUGGUAG